UACGUAGGGGGCAAGCGUUGUCCGGAUUUAUUGGGCGUAAAGAGCGUGUAGGCGGCCAGAUAGGUCUGCUGUGAAAACUCGAGGCUCAACCUCGAGAUGUCGGCGGAAACCAUUUGGCUAGAGUCCGGAAGAGGAAAGUGGAAUUCCUGGUGUAGCGGUGAAAUGCGCAGAUAUCAGGAGGAACACCGGUGGCGAAGGCGGGUCUCUGGGCCGAUACUGACGCUGAGGAGCGAAAGCGUGGGGAGCGAACAGG
rnacentral:rRNA from 1 species